AAUAUGGCUUCUUUAUAAGCCACAUACAUUAUCUUCACAGUUAUA
rfam:Chelonia mydas contig159523, whole genome shotgun sequence.